AUGGCAGCCGUGGGUGUCUCUUCACCUCUUCUCCUCCUACUACUCCUUGCUGCCACCAGCGAGGCCAUCACGUUUUACAUCACCAACGGGUGUCCCUACACCAUAUGGCCAGCGGCUCUGCCGAUUGGCCGUGCGUCCCAACUUGACCCAGGCAAGGACUGGACCCUCAACACAGGCCAGCCCAACAGCACGCGCCUGUGGGCACGCACGGGCUGCUCGUUGGACGGCAAUGGCACCGGGAUGUGCCAAACAGGCAACUGCGGCAGCUUGCUCGCCUGCAAAGCCAAUGGUCAGCCACCCAACACCAUCGCGGAGUUUAUGCUCGGCGGCUUCAACAAUCAGGAUUUCUUCGACAUCUCCUUGGUUGAAGGCUUCAACGUGCCCAUGGACUUCCUGCCGGUGCCGGCCAAGGGAGGGCCAGGGUGCAACAAGGGGCCACGCUGCAGAGCUAACAUAGCGGCGCAGUGCCCGACCAGUCUGAAGGCGCCGGGGGGUUGUAACAACCCGUGCACGGUGUUCAAGCACGAUAGGUACUGCUGUACCGGGAGCGCGGCAAGCAACUGCAGCACCACGGACUACUCGGACUUCUUUAAGCAGAUGUGCCCAGAUGCCUACAGCUACCCCAUGGAUGAUUCCACCAGCACUUUCAGUUGCCCGGCGGGCACCAACUACAAGGUAGUCUUUUGUCCCUUGACCAAUCAAGCAGUAUCGCCUAGUCCUCUGCCUGCACCCCCGGCUGAGGUAAAGCCUACUGGGCCAACAACCAUGAAACCCAAAUCCUCCACUAUAAGAACAGUUGUUGCGAUUUUAGCUCCUAUAGGCGGCUUCAUCUUUCUGCAUCUCAUCACUUUCUAUUUAUGUAAACGAAGAAUCCAACGACGGCAUGAGAUGCAGGAAGAGAAAGAGUUUGGGGAGCUACAAGGAACACCAAUGAGGUUCACAUUUCAACAGCUAAAAGCAGCAACCGAGCAAUUCACAGAAAAGCUCGGGGAAGGAGGAUUUGGGUCUGUUUUUAAGGGGCAAUUUGGUGAUGAAAGGAUUGCAGUAAAACGUUUGGAUCGAUCUGAGAAAUCACAUAGGCUCUUGGUAUAUGAGUACAUGAGGAUCCUUGGACAAAUGAAUCUAUUGUCGACAUGA
rnacentral:rRNA from 1 species